GCAGAAAGAAGCAAUCUGAGUCCGGCCAAGGUUUUCCUUAAAUACCAACCUUGCUAUGUGGGAGGCUCUGAAUCAAGGUGGGAGCACAGGGGGGAAUAGAAGCUGCUACUCUGUCUAAGCAACUGGCGGUUUCCAUAAAAGCAAAAUCAGGCUGUUCAUAAUAACAAAUCAUCAAAUAAGGCAACACAAAUGAGAACAGAUCCAAAAGGAGAGGAUUUCAUCUACUUAUAAAAGUAGAACGUCAGUGAAAGAAGAAACCUGAGCUUCCAACAGCACAAAUCAUAGAGGAUUCAGACACAGUCUUGCAGCACUUAUGGCCUAUUACAGAAGUACUGAGACUUUCCACAGGUCUCCAGCCCAAGCUAUUCUAAUUAUACGCCUGUUGGCGACAGCAUGCCACCAGGGAGGCAAUAAAUAAGUGAUAACAUGCAUGGGACCUGGCACACAUACCUAGCCAGCACAGAAAGAUCAUCCCUCACAAAGUGAUGUGGGCCAUCUGGGCAUAUGAAAUAUGCAAGCCUGAGACCCCGAGUAACAGUAAAUAGAUGCAGAGAACACUUAUGUCACAGUAAUAAAGGAAAACAAAAGAAAUCA